rnacentral:rRNA from 1 species
GCAUAUCAAUAAGCGGAGGAAAAGAAACCAACAGGGAUUGCCUCAGUAACGGCGAGUGAAGCGGCAACAGCUCAAAUUUGAAAUCUGGCCUCUUUGGGGUCCGAGUUGUAAUUUGUAGAGGAUGUUUCGGGUACCGCCUCGGUUUAAAUUUCUUGGAACAGAAUGUCAGAGAGGGUGAGAAUCCCGUCUUGGACCGGCGGUAGGGCCCAUGUGAAACUCCUUCGACGAGUCGAGUUGUUUGGGAAUGCAGCUCAAAAUGGGUGGUAAAUUUCAUCUAAAGCUAAAUAUUGGCCAGAGACCGAUAGCGCACAAGUAGAGUGAUCGAAAGAUGAAAAGAACUUUGAAAAGAGAGUUAAACAGUAUGUGAAAUUGUUGAAAGGGAAGCGCUUGCAACCAGACUUGAGCGCGGCGGUUCCCCCUUCCUUUUGGUUGGGUUACUCCGCCGUGUCCAGGCCAACAUCGGUUCUGGGGGUCGGUUAAAGGCCCGGGGAAUGUACCUACUCCUUCGGGGGUAGACUUAUAGCCCCGGGUGUCAUGCGACCACCCGGGACCGAGGAACGCGCUUCGGCUCGGAUGUUGGCGUAAUGGUUGUCAGCGACCCGUCUUGAAACACGGACCAAGGAGUCUAACAUCUAUGCGAGUGUUUGGGUGUCAAACCCGGAACGCGAAAUGAAAGUGAACGGAGGUAGGAAGCCUUUGGGCUGCACUAUCGACCGAUCCUGAUGUCUUCGGAUGGAUUUGAGUAAGAGCAUAGCUGUUGGGACCCGAAAGAUGGUGAACUAUGCCUGAAUAGGGUGAAGCCAGAGGAAACUCUGGUGGAGGCUCGCAGCGGUUCUGACGUGCAAAUCGAUCGUCAAAUUGGGUAUAGGGGCGAAAGACUAAUCGAACCAUCUGGUAGCUGGUUCCUGCCGAG